rnacentral:lncRNA from 10 species
CAAGGGUGGCACACAGAUGCCACCUCUUAAUGGGGAUGUGUCCAAGAAUUUGUAGACAUAUUUGAAACCACCACAGUUUGGGAGAAAGCAGAGCUUGCUAGUUGUCUAACUACGUUCCAUUUUUACCUUCCUAGUAACAGAAUCCCUAUGUUAUCAGUUAACUCAGAUUUUUUAAAAUCUACUUUUCCUGGCCUCCAUAAAAGAUGUGUGUCCAAUGAGAAGAAAGGAGAAGUCAUUGGAUGAGCCUUUGGGAAAGUUAUUUUAUAAACUUUAAAGAAUCUUCAUAGGAUAGUAUACUCUUCUAGAAAGUGUCUCUUUCCCCUUCUCCUCUUCUUUAUUCUCCCUGCCUGGAAUGCAGAUGAUAGAGUUGGAGCUCCAGUAGCCAUCUUGAGACCAUGAGGCAAUCCUGAGAAGGAAAGCUACACAUUAAGGAUGAGGGAGCAGAAAAAUUAAAGAAUACCAGGUCCUGGGAGACAUUGUGGAGCCAACAUGCCUACCCUGCCUUUUGAAUGUCAAGUUAUAAGACAGUAAAAUACAUGUCUAUUAUAUUUGGUGGUGUCUGUCACCAAAAUCAAUCCCUAACUGACACAAGCGAUCAGAAAGAGUUAGAUCAGAAAGGAGGAAAUGUAAUUUUUUUUGGUAAAGUAAUAAUUGCACAAGCAUUUGCUAAAAUGAGAAGGAGGUUGCCAGAUAAAGUAAGGAAAGACCUUUCAUGCAGAGGGAACAGUAUGGUUAAAAUAUCAAGGAAACCACUUGAUCACUUUCUCCUGAAAAAAUAACAUAUAUUAGAGUGGCUUGGUGAGGUUACUUCAAAUUAUAUUUGAUGAUUCCAGAGGAAGAAAUAGUAGAACUUCAGGUAUGCUGAGAAAGAGAGAGUCUCAUUGUGUUGCCCAGGCUGGUCUAGAACUUCUGGCCUCAAGUGAUCCUCCAGUCUCAGCAUCCCUAGGAGCUGUGACUACAGGCAUUGCCACUACAGUCUGCUAAUUUUUUUUUUUUUGUAUAAAGGAAGUCUCUCUAUUUUCCCCAAUCUAUUCUCAAACUCCUGGCCUCAAGCGAUCCUCCUGCCCUGGCCUCCCAAUGUGCUGGGAUUACAGGCAUAAGCUACCAUGCCCAGCUUGUAUACUUAAUUUUUGAACAAGCCUCCAGCUCCCACCUUCAGCUGCUCUUCUGAGAGAGAAUGAAGAGUGGUGGUAAACAGCAUAGGCUCCUGAGAGCUGGCCCUCUGACUAGCUGUGUGAUCUUGGGCUAGAAACUUAGUGUCUCUGUGCCUUAAUUUCUUCAAUAUAAAACGGUAAUAAUUUAUGCCUACUUCAGAGAGUUGUGAGGUUUAAUAGAGCUCAGCUUUGAAAAGUACUUAAAACAGUGUUUGAAAUAUGGAAUUCAAUAAAUGUCAGUUAUUGCA